rnacentral:rRNA from 1 species
UACGUAGGUGGCAAGCGUUGUCCGGGUUUAUUGGGUUUAAAGGGUGCGUAGGCGGCCUAUUAAGUCAGUUCUGAAAUAUCCCGGCUUAACCGGGAGGGUGGGAUUGAUACUGAUGGGCUUGAGUGGAGUCGAGGUAGGCGGAAUUGACGGUGUAGCGGUGAAAUGCUUAGAUAUCGUCAAGAACACCGAUAGUGUAGACAGCUUACUAGACUUCAACUGACGCUGAGGCACGAAAGUGUGGGGAUCAAACAGG